CACUAUGAUGAUUCAAUUUUGCUUCGGCAAGUUGGAAUUACCGACUGAAAGCCAUCUGGCUAUCUGAAGAAAACAACAGGCUGUUUCUGAUU
rnacentral:snoRNA from 1 species